CGUUGAACUUUUAUAAAAAAGUAAUAUAAAUGAAUGAUGAAUAAUAAAGUAUCUAUGUAUAAAUCUUUAUACUGACAAUGUAUAGCAACUUUUCGAACUGCUUCUGAAUCCACGGGCAGGCAAGAGACAACCUGGCGAACUGAAACAUCUUAGUAGCCAGAGGAAAAGAAAGCAAAAGCGAUUCCCGUAGUAGCGGCGAGCGAAAUGCAUUUUAAAAACAGCUUCUCCGA
rfam:Lupinus angustifolius cultivar Tanjil contig_29035, whole genome shotgun sequence.